rnacentral:rRNA from 1 species
UGGGGGAUAUUGGACAAUGGGGGAAACCCUGAUCCAGCGAUGCCGCGCGAGGGAAGAAGGUUUUCGGAUUGUAAACCUCUGUGGAGGGGGACGAUAAUGACGGUACCCCUUUAGGAAGCCACGGCUAACUACGUGCCAGCAGCCGCGGUAAUACGUAGGUGGCGAGCGUUGUCCGGAAUUACUGGGUGUAAAGGGAGUGUAGGCGGGAAAGCAAGUCAGAAGUGAAAACUAUGGGCUUAACCCAUAGCCUGCUUUUGAAACUGUUUUUCUUGAGUGAAGUAGAGGCAAGCGGAAUUCCUAGUGUAGCGGUGAAAUGCGUAGAUAUUAGGAGGAACACCAGUGGCGAAGGCGGCUGUCUGGUCUGCAACUGACGCUGAGGCUCGAAAGCAUGGGUAGCGAACAGG